CCGUAGCCCAAGAGACUGGGAUAACACCUGGAAACAGAUGCUAAUACCGGAUAACAACACUAGACGCAUGUCUAGAGUUUAAAAGAUGGUUCUGCUAUCACUCUUGGAUGGACCUGCGGUGCAUUAGCUAGUUGGUAAGGUAACGGCUUACCAAGGCAAUGAUGCAUAGCCGAGUUGAGAGACUGAUCGGCCACAAUGGAACUGAGACACGGUCCAUACUCCUACGGGAGGCAGCAGCU
rnacentral:rRNA from 1 species